GAUGAACGCUGGCGAGAUGCUUUACACAUGCAAGUCAUACGAGAGUUUUUAACUCAAGUGGCGGACGGGUGAGUAACACGUAAGAAUUUACCUUUAGGAGGGGGAUAACAAGCUGGAAUCAAGUUAUGCUUGCAUGCUUGAGGAUACGGAGAAAUUGGUGUUAAUACCCCAUAUGCUUUCGAGUGAAAUGGAUUUUUCCGCCUAAAGAGAAGCUUGCGUCUGAUUAGCUUGUUGGUAAGGUAAUGGCUUACCAAGGCGACGAUCAGUAUCUGGUUUGAGAGGAUGAUCAGACACACUGGAACUGAGACACGGUCCAGACUCCUACGGGAGGCAGCAGUGGGGAAUUUUCCGCAAUGGGCGAAAGCCUGACGGAGCAAUCUCGCGUGAGGGAUGACGGCCUAUGGGUUGUAAACCUCUUUUUUCAGGGAGGAAUCAAAUGACGUGUACCUGAAGAAUAAGCAUCGGCUAACUCCGUGCCAGCAGCCGCGGUAAG
rnacentral:rRNA from 1 species